ACACUAAAUGAUGAAGAGAUGAUGGGAUACAUAUUGAAUGGCCUUGAUCCUGAUUUUAAUUCUUUAGUUUCUGCUCUUAUAACCAGGGUUGAACCUAUCUCCUUGUCUGAGUUGUACUCCCAAUUGGUAAGCUUUGAGA
rnacentral:snoRNA from 1 species